CAAAUGGCUUGGUUUAUACCAUCUUGCGAGACUGAACGAGAUUUUGGUUUUAGGUUGGAUGAGCCAUUAGCUA
rnacentral:pre_miRNA from 1 species